GGGCCCGUAGUUCACCGGUAGAAUGCAUCCAUGGCAUGGAUGAGAAAGGGGUUCAAUUCCCCUCGGGUCCA
rnacentral:tRNA from 1 species